CCUACGGGUGGCAGCAGUGGGGAAUAUUGCACAAUGGGCGCAAGCCUGAUGCAGCCAUGCCGCGUGUGUGAAGAAGGCCUUCGGGUUGUAAAGCACUUUCAGCGGGGAGGAAGGCGGUAAGGUUAAUAACCUUAUCGAUUGACGUUACCCGCAGAAGAAGCACCGGCUAACUCCGUGCCAGCAGCCGCGGUAAUACGGAGGGUGCAAGCGUUAAUCGGAAUUACUGGGCGUAAAGCGCACGCAGGCGGUCUGUCAAGUCGGAUGUGAAAUCCCCGGGCUCAACCUGGGAACUGCAUUCGAAACUGGCAGGCUAGAGUCUUGUAGAGGGGGGUAGAAUUCCAGGUGUAGCGGUGAAAUGCGUAGAGAUCUGGAGGAAUACCGGUGGCGAAGGCGGCCCCCUGGACAAAGACUGACGCUCAGGUGCGAAAGCGUGGGGAGCAAACAGGAUUAGAUACCCUAGUAGUC
rnacentral:rRNA from 1 species